rnacentral:rRNA from 1 species
CCUGAGAGCCAUAUCACCCAUCAACUCUUGUCUGGUUUCCUACUGAAGAUAAGUAGGUUUAGGCUGGGUCAGUACUUGGAUGGGAGACCUCCUGGGGAAAACUAUGGCUGCUGCUGGAA